UGAAUACGAGACGCUAAGGCGUCGAAGUAGUGUAUGUCAUACUUCCAAGAAAAGCUUGCACUGUCAUAGAUAAAAAACGCCUGUACCAUAACCGACACAGGUGGGUAGGUAGAGUAUACUAAGGGGCGCGAGAUAACUCUCUCUAAGGAACUCGGCAAAAUAACUCCGUAACUUCGGGAGAAGGAGUGCCUUAUUAUUAAGGCUGCAAUAACAAGAUCCAAGCAACUGUUUAUCAAAAACACAGGUCUCCGCUAAGUCGUAAGACGAUGUAUGGGGGCUGACGCCUGCCCAGUGCCAGAAGGUUAAAGAAGUUGGUUAGCAUUUGCGAAGCUGAUAACUGUAGCCCUGGUGAACGGCGGCCGUAACUAUAACGGUCCUAAGGUAGCGAAAUUCCUUGUCGGGUAAGUUCCGACCCGCACGAAAGGCGUAAUGAUUUGGAUACUGUCUCGGAGAGGGGCUCGGUGAAAUAGACUUGUCUGUGAAGAUGCGGACUACCUGCACCAGGACAGAAAGACCCUAUGAAGCUUUACUGUAACUUGAAAUUGAAAUUGGACUUUAUUCGCGCAGCAUAGGUGGGAGGCGUUGAUUAUAAUCUUGUGGGAUUAUUGGAGCCAUCAGUGAGAUACCACUCUUGUAAUGUUAGAUUUCUAACUUUGAAUCAUUAUCUGGUCAAAGAACAGUUUCAGGCGGGCAGUUUGACUGGGGCGGUCGCCUCCUAAACGGUAACGGAGGCGUACAAAGGUUUCCUCUGAACGGUUAGAAAUCGUAUCUAGAGUGUAAAGGCAUAAGGAAGCUUGACUGUGAGACCUACAAGUCGAGCAGGGACGAAAGUCGGUCUUAGUGAUCUGACGGUACUGAGUGGAAAGGCCGUCACUCAACGGAUAAAAGUUACUCUAGGAUAACAGGCUGAUCUCCCCCAAGAGUUCACAUCGACGGGGAGGUUUGGCACCUCGAUGUCGGCUCAUCGCAUCCUGGGGCGGUAGUACGUCCCAAGGGUUGGGCUGUUCGCCCAUGAAAGCGGUACGCGAGCUGGGUUCAGAACGUCGUGAGACAGUUCGGUCCAUAUCCGGUGUAGGCGUUAGAAUAUUGAGAGGAGCCUUCUUUAGUACGAGAGGACCGAGAAGGACAUACCUCUGGUGUACCAGUUAUCGUGCCAACGGUAAACGCUGGGUAGCUAUGUAUGGAGUGGAUAACCGCUGAAAGCAUCUAAGUGGGAAGCCCACCUCAAGACAAGUAUUCUC
rnacentral:rRNA from 1 species